GGGGCUGAUUCUGGAUUCGACGGGAUUUGCGAAACCCAAGGUGCAUGCCGAGGGGCGGUUGGCCUCGUAAAAAGCCGCAAAAAAAUAGUCGCAAACGACGAAACCUACGCUUUAGCAGCUUAAUAACCUGCUUAGAGCCCUCUCUCCCUAGCCUCCGCUCUUAGGACGGGGAUCAAGAGAGGUCAAACCCAAAAGAGAUCGCGCGGAUGCCCUGCCUGGGGUUGAAGCGUUAAAACGAAUCAGGCUAGUCUGGUAGUGGCGUGUCCGUCCGCAGGUGCCAGGCGAAUGUAAAGACUGACUAAGCAUGUAGUACCGAGGAUGUAGGAAUUUCGGACGCGGGUUCAACU
rnacentral:tmRNA from 4 species